rnacentral:rRNA from 1 species
AUACGGAGGGUGCGAAGCGUUGUUCGGAAUUAUUGGGCGUAAAGCGCACGUAGGCCGCUUUGUAAGUCAGGGGUGAAAUCCCACGGCUCAACCGUGGAACUGCCCUUGAAACUGCAGAGCUUGAAUCCUGGAGAGGGUGGCGGAAUUCCUGGUGUAGGAGUGAAAUCCGUAGAUAUCAGGAGGAACACCGGUGGCGAAGGCGGCCACCUGGACAGGCAUUGACGCUGAGGUGCGAAAGUGU